rnacentral:lncRNA from 1 species
ACUUCAAUUUUAAUCUGGAUAACGCCAAAGCUUUUCCUCAAAUUCACCCCUGGAGUCAGCUCAUAGAUGCUCUGAUUUUGUCUACCAUUGCUCCUCCUUAAUAUCUCUCGCACAGGUGCCAUUGACCUUUAGAUGGGCUGUACGGUGUGGGGUUCGGUGCCAUGGAUCUGCUUCUCCAGGGACCAGGAUCUUGAGAUCUUCAGGCUGGGUUUCCAUGGAGGCAUGGAGCUGCUUUUCCUCCUUCAUAACUGCACUCAAAACAGCCCUGUUGCUCUAGAAUGGAGACUUGGGCAACUCCUUCUGGCACAGAUUUGUUCACCUCAGGUGAAAUUCAGAUAGAAGCAAGCUGCAGGCAGUUUCACCUCUAAGUCCAUGGGUUCUCAACUGGUAACGUCCUCUUAUGGAUGUUAGCCCAUGAGGUCAAUCCUGUAGCAAUCUAAGGCUUGAGAAAAAUUAAUCUUCUGGAAAAUUCCAAGAAUACAUCUUAGGGAAACUGGCUCUACCUUUAUGACUUGGAUCACACAAGGAUAUGCUUUUCAUCUUGGACUAGAACUGAGAGCCAAUGGAUGUGUUAUCUAAAACUAUCCCAGUGUGUUCACUAUACAGAGGAAGAUUCUGAGAUUCAAGACUCAAGACUGAAGAAGAUCAUUAUUUUUAUUAUUUUAGUCUUAUGCACAAAAUGAUAUCUACUGAAUAAGCAGGUUUUUAAUAGGUGACUUAUAUAUGUUAGCAAAAAUAAACACUUUGUCUUUUAGAUCUAUUCUAGUUUUUCAGUAGCUGUAGACUUAAGUGCUAACUUUUAGCCCAUAGGAUAAGAAGAAACCAAGUCCUAAAAGUAGGCCAGCACCAGGGUUCAGGCCUCUGACUUCAAGCCAAGGGCUCAUCAUCUUGAAUUGCGCACGAAUUUUUACACAGCGCCAAAGGAAACUGCCUGUACUUACUGUUGUAGGUGCUUUGCUGGAUUCAGGAUGCAGACAAGGUCCACGCAUUGUGGUUGGGACAAUGACUAGAUCUUUACCUGGUCCACAGCCCUCCCCAGUCUGGCUGCAACCUCUCAUGAGGCUGAGCUCACCAUGAACCCCUGCUCUAGGCGUCUGCAUAGUGUUCUGUUUGUCCCCGUGACUGUCCACCUCUUCUUUGGCCUGUUGGCAUGCGCUUAUCCUCCAGACCUCAGUCCAAAGGUCAGUCCCGGAGCAGACACAACCCUGUUUGCAGAGAGCCAACAUUCUAAUUGACAGUGCGUGGUGGGAAACAGUGAACCGAGGGAAAGAGUGCCAGUGUUAGAGAGCCACAGUGCAGUGAAGAAGAGAAGGCAAGAGGAUGUGAUGCAAAAUCACAGGACCUGGCUUCCAGACCAUUCUGCUUCCAUGAGAACAUUUCAGUUGAGAACCGGAUGGCAUGAAAGCAGGAUUCCACUUGCAAGCCGUGUGAUAUGGGGCAGCUCACCUUUAUUGAAGUAUCAGAGAAUCAUUUUCUUAAGAGAUGGUAAUGGAAUCCAUGCAUUUGAAAUAAAUCAACAGAAAAAAAUGAUUCAGAAGAGAGGGAACUAGCCUAAGGACAACUGUGAUAUUGUGAAAUAUAUAUAUGGGUCUUCAUCCUGUGUCCUGGCAUACCUAAAACCCUUGGAAUAUCCAAAGGCAUGCUUUUCAUGUGCAAAUGAUUGACUGAUGUCUUCAGGAUGGAGCCAAUCACCAGAAAUGUCAAAGCAUAAUUAGAGUGUUGGGACUUUCAGCCAUACCCCACACCCCUGACCUUUGGGGAGGAGAGACGGGCAGAAGGUUAAGUCCAUCAACAAUGGCCAGUGAUGUAAUCAGUCAUGCCUAUGUAAUGAAGCUUCCAUAAAAAUCCCAAAGGACUGGGUCUGGAGAGCUUCUGGAUAUCUGAGCACAUGGAGGUUCCUGGAGGGUGGUGCCUGGGGCAGUCAUGGAAGCAUCUCAUCCCUUCCCACAUGCCUUGCCCUAUGCAUCUCUUCAUCUGUAUCCUUUAAAAUAUCUUUGUAAUAAACUGCUAAGCAUA